UACGAAGGGGGCUAGCGUUGCUCGGAAUCACUGGGCGUAAAGGGUGCGUAGGCGGGUCUUUAAGUCAGGGGUGAAAUCCUGGAGCUCAACUCCAGAACUGCCUUUGAUACUGAAGAUCUUGAGUUCGGGAGAGGUGAGUGGAACUGCGAGUGUAGAGGUGAAAUUCGUAGAUAUUCGCAAGAACGCCAGUGGCGAAGGCGGCUCACUGGCCCGAUACUGACGCUGAGGCACGAAAGCGUGGGGAGCAAACAGG
rnacentral:rRNA from 1 species